rnacentral:rRNA from 1 species
AUUGAACGCUGGCGGCAUGCUUUACACAUGCAAGUCGAACGGUAACAGGCCUUCGGGCGCUGACGAGUGGCGAACGGGUGAGUAAUGCAUCGGAACGUGCCCAGUCGUGGGGGAUAACGCAGCGAAAGCUGUGCUAAUACCGCAUACGAUCUGCGGAUGAAAGCGGGGGACCUUCGGGCCUCGCGCGAUUGGAGCGGCCGAUGUCAGAUUAGGUAGUUGGUGGGGUAAAGGCUCACCAAGCCAACGAUCUGUAGCUGGUCUGAGAGGACGACCAGCCACACUGGGACUGGGAGACGGCCCAGACUCCUACGGGAGGCAGCAGUGGGGAAUGUUGGACAAUGGGCGCAAGCCUGAUCCAGCGAUGCCGCGUGCAGGAAGAAGGCCUUCGGGUUGUAAACUGCUUUUGUACGGAGCGAAAAGGCUCCCUCUAAUACAGGGGGCUCAUGACGGUACCGUAAGAAUAAGCACCGGCUAACUACGUGCCAGCCGCCGCGGUAACAC